GAUGAACGCUAGCUACAGGCUUAACACAUGCAAGUCGUGGGGCAUCAUGAUGUAGUAAUACAUUGAUGGCGACCGGCGCACGGGUGAGUAACGCGUAUCCAACCUACCCUCCACUCAAGUAUAGGCUUCCGAAAGGGAGAUUAAUCCUUGAUAUCGUCAUUCUCUCUCCUGUUAGAAUGAUAAAAGGACAUCGUUUCGGUAGAGGAUGGGGAUGCGUUCCAUUAGGUAGUAGGUGGUUUAACAGGCCACCUAGCCGAUGAUGGAUAGGGGUUCUGAGAGGAAUAUCCCCCACACUGGUACUGAGAUACGGACCAGACUCCUACGGGAGGCAGCAGUGAGGAAUAUUGGUCAAUGGGCGCAAGCCUGAACCAGCCAUGUAGCGUGAAGGAUGACGGUUUUUUUGAUUGUAAACUUCUUUUCUGUGCGAUUAAAGUGU
rnacentral:rRNA from 1 species